GCAGUACAUUUAAUAUCACAACCUGGAUAUUGAUGUUGAACAAUCAAGAUAGGACAUUUCUCUCACUUCAAAGACCUCAUCUCCACCCUUUUUGGCCACGCCUCCUUCUCCCUCUCCCCACAACUGCAGCAACCAUUAGUCUGCCCUGCAAGCCUGUGACUGUUGCCUAAGCACGGCAGUAACCUUCGGGAUCAGCUUGGUUUAUGAAGCUUCAGGGUGUGUGUGUGAGUGUGUGUGUGUGUGGUGUGUGUGUGAGUGAGUGUGUGUGGUAUGUGGUGUGUGUGUGUGUGGUGUGUGUGUGGUGUGUGUGGUGUGUAUAGUGUGUGUGUGUGUAUAGUGUGUGUGUAUGUGGGUGUGGGUGUGGGUGUGUGUGGUGUGUUUUAACCACCUCCCCUGCAGUGGCAAUUCAAGGCCUAGGAGUGCUGCAGUUUAACCCCUUAUGGUUGUGACUUGAUGGUUGUUGCUGGGCUUUGACUGUGACAGAUAAAGCUGCUGUACACAGUCAUGUUGCAGUUUUUGCAUGAGUCUAUGUUUAUUUUUCUUGGGAUAGAAUGGCCACUAGUAAAAUUGUGGACUACACUGUAAUUCUGUAAAUGAUUAUUUUUCAAGGAGAGUAUCUACAUUUUUGUGGAUUUUUAUAUCAACUGCAUUGGCUAAUGAUUUGAAAACAUAGAGGCUCUCUUAAAUUAUUUGUAGUUAAAUAGAAGAACACAUUGUCUCAGAAACUUGGCUUUGCUCUCUCAUCCUUAGUGCCACUGAGAUGGCCUAUCUCUCUUGGCAUGGAAGGGGUGCAGGCUGCUGAGAGGGUGCUGUGCAGGCCACAGGUCACCCAGGGAAAUUUGGGGGAGUUUUCUAGGUUUAACAGAGACUGGACAUCAGAGCUGCACUGUGGCGUCUGGAUCUGCAGAUCCCACUUCAUCCUUUCUACUUCACGUCAGAAUUACCCACACCGUGUCAGGUUGGUGGCGCUAUGGGAGGUGCUCGCUUAUUUAUUUAUUUAUUCAUUCAUUCAUUCAUUUAUUUAUUUAUUUAUUUAUUUAUUUGGAGCUGGGGACUGAACCCAGGGCCUUGCGCUUGUUAGGCAAGCGCUCUACCACUGAGCUAAAUCCCCAACCCCUGGGAGGUGCUCUUUUAAUUCAGCUGUGCACUUAGAGAGAGAACUAAAGAAGUAAAAGUUAUCCUUUUUAGGCCACAGUCCCCAAUAAAUGUAGCUACUUUACACAAUGCUUAAUGAAAGAAAAAGCUCCAAUUCCCAGCCCUUGUGGGAAUUAUCCUGACUGUAUUUUACUUAUUGAGAUAUAAUAAUAUCUGGCAGUCCCAUAUAUAAUAUUUUGGAAAGGCCCAUGGAAAGGAAUUUUAAAGAGCAAUUGUUUUUCCGAUUUCAUUGCAUGAGAUUUAAUUCCUUACAAGAUGCAUCUUGAUAACAAGCCUCCUCUUAUUGUUUGUUUUGUUUUGUGAAUCGGGGUUUCUUUGUGUAGUCCUGGCUAUCCUGUAACUCACCCUGAAGACCAGGCUAGCCUCAAACUCAGAGAUUCAGGCUUUUCUCUGCCUCCAUGUGCUGGGAUUAAAGGUGUGUGCCCCCACUGCACGCCCGAUCUUUCUCUUUCUAAGAAACAUUGAGUGUAGUUAUCUGGACAGACUGAUGCCUCUUACAGUCCAAACUAAAAUCUGUUAACUUUUUGAGUGAUGAACCAGACUUAGUCCACCCCAGUCUUUCAGUGCUUUAUCUGUAGUUCGCUGUGGUCCUGGCCAUCACUAUGUAAAAGGAAUAAGAUACUCAAAUGCUCCUUACUCUACAAAAUGGCAAACUGAAGAAGAAUAAGGUGCACGCACACCCUUCAAAGGCAGUGCAGUCGUCGAGUGUUGAAAAUGUGUUGGAGUGUCUGUCCAGUAUCAUGGCACUUUGAGGUACUGAGUCCCUAACAUCACAGUUGUACACUGUGUCAUCACCCAAGUCACAUGUCUAGACUGGCAGGUAAAGAGAAAGUGAGAACAAACAAGGGAUCCACAAGGCGAUGCAUUACUAGAAACUCAGAAUUCAGGAGCAAAGACCCUGGUGAUGGUUGUGAUGGAGAAGAACGGGAUGAAGAGACCAAGGGGCAGCCAAGCCUGUGUCCUCAAGUAGGUUCGUGGUACAUGGAAAAACAGCUACAAAGAGGGACACAAACUGAAGCAAGAUUGCAGGUUACCAGGGUGAGAUCCGGUCUAGCCAGGAUCUCUUGAAGCAGUGCCUUGUGCUUUUCUGAGCCAUCCUUCUUGGAAAGAAUGUAUAGUUUUGGGUUUGUUAGUGAGGUAGAAUGAAGCAGUAGGCAUUCCCAGGCUGUGGGAGGCCCUGGGCUUCCUCUGCACACCACAAGGAAUAAGAAGGGCUGUAGCGCCUUCAAGUUUCUUCCCAGUCAGGAGGCUCAAUCCUUUUUCUCCGUUUGCGUUUGUUCAGGAUGUAUGCUUGUCUGGUGUCUUAAAUGCCCAAUCUGUAAGUCUGUAGUACAUUUCAAAUUGUACUUUAUUGUACACAUUUAAAUCUCUUUGGGAAGAGCUUCAAAAUUAAAACCAAAAUCACCCAUAGAUGUUAAAGAGUGACUGCUUGGUAAGACUAUAUGGAACCAAGGUUUCUAUUAAGAAAGUGCUUUGGGCUGGGCGUGUUGGCCCACACCUUUAAUCCCAGCACUCAGGAGGCAGAGGCAGAGGCAGAGGCAGGUGGAUCUCUAAGUUUGAGGUCAGCCUGAUCUACAGAGUAAGUUCCAGGACAGCCAGAACUGCAUGGUGAGACACUGUCUCUAUGCUCAAAUGAAAAAAAUGAAAGAAAGAGGGGAAUUGUUUUGGGUAAAUGUGUACAUGUUAUUGCUUAAGUACAAGGUAAGAGGAGAGUGCCUAAAAGCCUCUGCUACCAUCCGUCAAUUUUAGGAGCUUUGACACCAUAUAGGUCCCUUUGAGAAGGGCCUCCCCAGUCUGAGCUAGGCAAGCACUCUGCGGAGGAUACUCCCGGAGAGUCCUCAGCUAGGCCUGGAACUUGCAUUCCUCUGGCCUCAACCCUUUGAAUAUCUGCUGUUAGAAGACUGUGUCUUCAAAAUGGGUGAGCUGUUUUUAAACUUCCAGGAAUCAGACUUACUCAGAGUGGCUAUGAAAUGCAAUAAAAUUAAGAUACCCAUGAUUUUAUACUUAGUGUUGUUUCCAGUAGCCCCAUAGCCAUGGUGUAUCUUCACAGGCACAGGUUCUCCUUCUGGCUAGCCAAUCACUGUUUCAUCAUUUUCAGUUCUCACUUCUCUUUGACAUUUAAAAAGAUUCCACUUUUUAAAGGCCUCCAAGCUAAUUUAGCUCCUCCAGCCCCUCACUCCUGCUCCACUGAGAAUGUUUCUCUCCUUAGCCUUCACCACUGGGGAGCAGUGGACAUAUCCUUCUGUCAGUUCCCCCAUGAUCUUAUCAGAGACCCUCUGCUGUCCGACUAUUAGCAGUCUAAGAAGCUUUUGACAACUAUUAGCCUACAGCUCUCACCCCACCUAACCUCUGUGCUCAUGACACAGUGUCUGCGGCUCCAGAUGCUGGACUCCAUCUUGGUCCUGGGUCUGUCAUCUGCUGGGCACCUCUCUUCAAAGAUAAUAGCCCCUGGCACACUGCCCUGCACCUCGGGACUCUCCAUUGCCUGGGCAUAGGUGUCUGACUUUGACUGCCCUCCUCUGUCUCCUUCCUGAGCCACCUCUCUCUCAGUCCUCAUUGCGACUCACAGCAUCUCUCCUGCCCCAGCUAACCCACGCAUGAAGGCACUGUUCUAACAGUGCCGGCUGUCCUCUUAGGCCGUCUGUCCUCUUAGGCCGUCUGUCCUCUUAGGCUGUCUGUCCUCUUAGGCCAGGUAGACCAUCCUCAUGUCCUCCUCUCUGGCGCUCUUCCUUCUUGAAAAUCCAUAGAUCCCAGUUGGUUCUGUGGUGUUUGCUUGUUUAACCUACGCCCGUCUCCGUGUUCUUUAUAGUUUCUAUAAUUAUUUACUUAUUCAUUUGUUUGUUUAUUUUGUAGGCAUGAGUUUACUGUGUUGUGCUGGUCGUCCUAGAACUCAGAGAGAGUCGCCUACCUCUGUCUCCUGAGUAAAAGCUGCGGUGUCCUCACUCUCCUCUCCAUAGUGCACCCCUGAAGAUCCAGCUCCAAAUGCAGUUACGCUGAGGACCGAGUUUCCAGCACAAGAGCUUUGGAGGUGACAGGAUCACUCAAGCCAUGGUGGUUGCCCUUGCUUUAAAGAGUGAUUAAUUUCACUUCCAGUGCCUUCCUCUCUGAGCGGAGUGCUUCUGUAGAGACUCCUAAUUCAGUGAAACCUGUUUAGGGGAUCAUCCCUGCUAGACAGACAGCUGUGAUCGGGCAUUCGCUUCCCAGCAUGGAUUUCAGAUUCGGACCAAUCAAGAGCCGGGGCUGUGGAACACCUGUCAGCGACACUGCUACAAGGAGACUAGCUCUGUAAUCGAAUUUCAUUGUACUUCAGAAAAAGGUUUAUUUUCAAUGUGGCGUCUGCUUUUAUGAUUCAUCCCUCUCAGCUGAGACAUCAAUUUGGGGCUUAUUUAUGGUGGUGUUCUAGAGUGAAACGAGAAGCACCAAGGACGUGCUUCAAAGGCAGCCUUUCCCAGACAUUUGGUUUGCAGCUUUCUCGUAUGGAAAAAGUACAAAAGAAAUCCAAAACUUUAGCUUGAAGUUCUGUGUGUGAAUAUAAUCAGCGAUAGGUAUUCUUGAGCACAUUUUCAGAAUGUAGAAGCUGGGGAGUUCGUGUGUUUGGUGACAUCUGGGGAACUUCACUUGUGGAAAUCCGUUCUGCUCAUCUGUGAGCAGCACAACCAUCAUUGAUACCGAUGGGUUCCAAAGGCCAUGCUCAGCUUUGACCUUGGCCCUAAUUGGAGGACCUGCUAAGCCCGUAACACCAGGUACCUUCUCAUAGCUGCAGACCGCAGAGUGUAACUAUCAGAAGACAAACUUCACUGUGCAAACUAAUUUAAUGGUCUAACUAUGUGCAGCCCGGAAUAUCA
ensembl:lncRNA